rnacentral:rRNA from 1 species
GUAAUAGCUCACUAGUCGAGUGACACUGCGCCGAAGAUGUACCGGGGCUAAGCAUAAUACCGAAAUCGCGGAUUUAUACAUAAGUAUGAGUGGUAGGGGAGCGUUCCAAGUGCGCUGAAGGUUGACCGAGAGGACAGCUGGAGCGCUUGGAAGUGAGAAUGCAGGCGUGAGUAGCGCAAGACGGGUGAGAAUCCCGUCCACCGUUUGACCAAGGUUUUCUGGGCCAGGUUCGUCCUCCCAGAGUUAGUCGGGUCCUAAGACAAGGCCGAAAGGCGUAGCCGAUGGACAACAGGUUUAUAUUCCUGUACUAUCUAUAUAUCUGAUGGAGUGACGAAGAAGGCUAACAUGAAUCAGUUAUUGGAUUCUGGUCUAAACACAAAGGCUUAUAAUCAGGGAAAUCCGAUUAUUGUAAGGCUGAAGUGUGAUGGCGAGCCACGUAAGUGGUGAAGUCAUGUGACGCCAAGCUUCCAAGAAAAGCUUCUAAGGCUAAAUAUAUAGAUACCCGUACCGAGAACCGACACAGGUGGUCAAGGAGAGUAUCCUAAGGUGAGCGAGAGAACUAUGGUUAAGGAACUCGGCAAAAUAACCCCGUAACUUCGGAAUAAGGGGUGGUUACGAAGAGUGACCGACACUAAAGACGCCCAAGCAACUGUUUACCAAAAACACAGGUUUCUGCUAAAUCGAAAGAUGAUGUAUAGGAGCUGACACCUGCCCAGUGCUGGAAGGUUAAGAGGAGUGCUCAGAUAGAGGAAACUCGAUAAUUCAAAGGUACGAAUUGAAGCCCCAGUGAACGGCGGCCGUAACUAUAACGGUCCUAAGGUAGCGAAAUUCCUUGUCAGGUAAGUUCUGACCCGCACGAAAGGUGUAAUGAUUUGGGUACUGUCUCAACCAUAGACUCGGUGAAAUCUUAAUACCUGUGAAAAUGCAGGUUACCCGCAUCAGGACGGAAAGACCCCAUGGAGCUUUACUGUAGGUUGAUAUUGAGGUUCGGUAAGUUAUGUAGAGAAUAGGUGGGAGGCUUUGAAGCUAAGACGCUAGUUUUAGUGGAGCCGCCUUUGGAAUACCACCCUUAACUUAUUGAAUUUCUAACUUAGAGCCAUUAUCUGGUUCAAGGACAGUGUCUGCCGGGCAGUUUGACUGGGGCGGUCGCCUCCCAAAAAGUAACGGAGGCGCCCAAAGGUUCCCUCAGAAUGGUUGGAAAUCAUUCAUUGAGUGUAAAGGCAUAAGGGAGCUUGACUGCGAGACUUACAAGUCGAGCAGAUACGAAAGUAGGGCUUAGUGAUCAGACGAUUUUCAGUAUGGAAUGGUCGUCGCUUAACGGAUAAAAGUUACCCUGGGGAUAACAGGCUGAUACCACCCAAUAGUUCACAUAGACGGUGGUGUUUGGCACCUCGAUGUCGGCUCGUCACAUCCUGGAGGUGAAGUCGCUUCCAAGGGUUGGGCUGUUCGCCCAUUAAAGUGGCACGCGAGCUGGGUUCAGAACGUCGUGAGACAGUUCGGUCCCUAUCCGAUGUGGGCGUAGGAAAAUUGAAGAGAGCUAUCCUUAGUACGAGAGGACCGGGAUGGACAAACCUCUGGUGUAUCUGUUGUAGCGCCUAGCUGCAGCGCAGAGUAGCUAUGUUUGGAAUGGAUAACCGCUGAAAGCAUCUAAGCGGGAAGCCAACUUUGAGAUGAGUUUUCCCAUACGCAAGUAGUAAAAUCCCAAAAAGACGAUUUGGUUGAUAGGCUGGAGAUGGAAGCAUAGUAAUAUGUUGAGUUGACCAGUACUAAUAGAUUGAGGAUUUAAUCAU